UAUACAUACAAUGGAUCAGAAGAAAUCCCUAUCGGUCCUUAAAAAAUAACAUUCUAUAGUCUGCAUAGGUGAAUUUUGAGAGAAAACAUUAAAGUAGAGUGAAACAAGCACUCUCAUAGCAAAACUGUCCAGAAAGGCCUCAAUCCCAAAUGCUUGGAAUCACAGAAAAGAGUCACUAAGGCAGCGGUCAAACUCAUUUGUUCUAGAUGACCAAACUGUCAACUAAAAUAGUUAUGGCAAAUGGAAAAGAGUCUGAUAGCUUUUCGAAUCUAUUGUACGGCAUGAGUUGUAUGACAAGUAAGAAUCUACCUUUUGGCUAUCUUUGUGAUAGAGUAGGUGGGGCACUGGUUAGAGCCCUUGUAAAGGAGGAUUCAAUUAGCUCAAAAGGAGCAACUGAGACUGUGAAGAACCUUUGGAAGAGCCCAAGCCUGCACAAAAUUUGUAAUAGGAGGCCUAAUUCGAAGCACAUCACUCAUAAAAUGUUUUAUCAAAGGGUCUGAGGCCCAUUGGACAUUAGUAAUGGCUAAAAAGGCCAGCCAAUUGAACCUUUAGAGUACAGAAGUUCAGUCCCUUGUCUAACCCCUUCUGGAGAAACUCCAGCAGAUCUGAUUCAAUUGAAUAUGUUUCCUUCCUCCAUGAUGUUGCUUAUUCACAGUAUGCCUUCCAGACUUUAUAAUAUACUUGAAAUGUAGAUGACUUUUUGGACUUGAG